GUGUGAAAUCGCUGCUCUCAGAUCAGCACACGGGAGAGGCCAGCAGUCAGGAGGGGGCUCACCGAGUUUGUCUGCACUCGCUCCCUCCGCAGCCGCCCUCUCCAGCUGGAAGAAGUCGUAAUCGAACCUGCUCAGGUCCUCACUGCCCCACUCCGAAGGAAACCCCACGUACAGUGACCGUCACUUUACCGUCGGCAUUUGUGAAGGAAGCGUGUUUAUCUGAAAUUCUAAGAAGAUGAGAGUCAAAGACACCCAGCAAACGGCGGUUUCCGUGAGCAGGGUUGGAGCCCAGGAAGCAAACCAGCACUGCACCCUAGAUUUCAGCCAGAGGACGAAAGCCCUGCCCUCAGCUUUCUCAGACCAGCCCUGGAGUAGGUGGCCCGGGGAGACCUGGGCAGUGUCCCUGCUUGUCCUGCAGACUGUGUGGCUCUGCAGACCUCUAGAUGGAGGAGGCACAAUUCUCUAAUGCUGGACGAGGACACUGAUCAUGGAAACUCACCCCAAACCUUGAAUCGUGAUAGCAUUUGAGGCAGCCUGACCGGUGCCACAUGAACCUGAAAGGAAUCAAGAUAUAAUUUAUUUUGAAAAUAAAUCAGACACUUUCAGAAUUUGAGCGUAAGAAGUUAACAUGUCUGAUGCGUUGGAAGUGACGUUUUCUCUACAGUGGGAUGGUACUGAAGGGAUUUUUCCAGUUGGGAUUUUCAAUCAUAA
rnacentral:lncRNA from 10 species